rnacentral:lncRNA from 1 species
ACGAAUCGAAUGCGGGUUUAAAGAUUUUGAUUCGUUUAUUCGUUUAGGAUUCGUUUAAUAAACGGGUUAUAAACGAAUCGAAUAUAGAUCAAUUCGUUUAAUAUUCAUUUAUUAUUCGGUUAAUUAAAUUACUUUUGUAUACCUAAAUUUAUUUGAAAAUUUUUUAAAAUUUAGAGGUUAAUAUUGUAAUUUUAAGCUAAAGCAAAGUCAAAGCAAUCAAAGCAGCCGGCCCUAAUCUUAAUUCUUACAUUUCACAUCUCUUUACCUUCAUCUCUUUCCCUUCAUCUCUUAGCAAUUCAAGAUUGAUUUCACAGUUUAUCAACGUCACUUAACCAGCAGCAGUCACCACCAAAGUAAGCUCCACUUCUUUUUUCCUUUUUUAUUAUUUUUGCCAGCUUUUUCAUUUCGAAAGAUAUGUUGUAAACUAUGCAUGCUUUUAGCUUUUUCCAUCAAGACGAUUUCAAAGAGUCCAUUAGUGCUAGGCUGUUAGCUUUUUUAUUUUUUGCUCAUAUUCUUCAAUUAUGUCAUUGUUAAAAAUUUAUAUAUAUAUAUAUUAUUAGUGCAAGCUUUUUUAUUUCUUGCUCAUAUUCUUCAAUUAUAUCACUGUUAAAAAAUAAAAAAUUAAUUAAUUUUAAUAUAUAUGAUCUUUUAUUCUUCAAUUAAUUUGAAUUAUUUCGUUUAUAUAUGUUAAUAACAUUUUUAUUUACUUUUUGGUGUAGGAUUUUUGUUUUCAAGGUGAAAAAGACAAAUGAAGAGAAUUAAAGAAAUUACCUUACUUUAUAAUUUUAAUUUUAAUUAUUGUUAUUUGUAUUAUUAGGGAUUUAUAAUUUGAUAUUUGGAUGGCUGCAUAAUAUGGUUUGAGUUAUUUGUAUUUUGUUCUGGAAUGC